AUUGAACGCUGGCGGCAGGCCUAACACAUGCAAGUCGAGCGAGCGGCGGACGGGAGAGAAAUGUAUGGAGAUGUGCCUGAUGGAGGGGGAUAACUACGGGAAACGAUAGAUAAUACCGCAAACCAUCAGAUGAACCCAUAUGGGAUUAGCUUGUAGGUGAGGUAACGGCACACCUAGGCGAAGAUCCAUAGCUGGUCUGCGAGGAUGAUCAGCCACACUGGGACUGAGACACGGCCCAGACUCCUACGGGAGGCAGCAGUGGGGAAUAUUGCACAAUGGGCGCAAGCCUGAUGCAGCCAUGCCGCGUGUAUGAAGAAGGCCUUCGGGUUGUAAAGUACUUUCAGUCGGGAGGCGUUACCGACAGAAGAAGCACCGGCUAACUCCGUGCCAGCAGCCGCGGUAAUAC
rnacentral:rRNA from 1 species